rnacentral:rRNA from 1 species
AGAGUUUGAUCCUGGCUCAGAACGAACGCUGGCGGCAGGCCUAACACAUGCAAGUCGAGCGCCCAGCAAUGGGAGCGGCGGACGGGUGAGUAACACGUGGGAAUUUUCCUCAAGGUACGGAACAACUCAGGGAAACUUGGGCUAAUACCGUAUGAUGCAGAGAUGCCAAAGAUUUAUCGCCUUGGGAUAAGCCCGCGUCAGAUUAGGUAGUUGGUGGGGUAAUGGCCUACCAAGCCUGUGAUCUGUAGCUGGUCUGAGAGGACGAUCAGCCACAUUGGGACUGAGACACGGCCCAAACUCCUACGGGAGGCAGCAGUGGGGAAUCUUGCGCAAUGGGCGAAAGCCUGACGCAGCCAUGCCGCGUGAAUGAUGAAGGUCUUAGGAUUGUAAAGUUCUUUCGCCCGUGACGAUGAUGACGGUAACGGGAGAAGAAGCCCCGGCUAACUUCGUGCCAGCAGCCGCGGUAAUACGAAGGGGGCUAGCGUUGUUCGGAAUUACUGGGCGUAAAGCGCGCGUAGGCGGUUUUGCAAGCCAGAGGUGAAAUGCCCGAGCUCAACUUGGGAAUUGCCUUUGGGACUGUGAGGCUUCGAGGACGGAAGAGGUGAGUGGAAUUCCCAGUGUAGAGGUGAAAUUCGUAGAUAUUGGGAAGAACACCGGUGGCGAAGGCGGCUCACUGGUCCGUUUCUGACGCUAAAGCGCGAAAGCGUGGGGAUCAAACAGGAUUAGAUACCCUGGUAGU